UACGGAGGGUGCAAACGUUGCUCGGAAUUAUUGGGCGUAAAGCGCACGUAGGCGGCCGACUAAGUCGGGUGUGAAAGCCCUGGGCUCAACCCAGGAAGUGCACUCGAAACUGAUCGGCUUGAAUAUGGAAGAGGGUCGCGGAAUUCCCGGUGUAGAGGUGAAAUUCGUAGAUAUCGGGAGGAACACCAGUGGCGAAGGCGGCGACCUGGGCCAAUAUUGACGCUGAGGUGCGAAAGCGUGGGGAGCAAACAGG
rnacentral:rRNA from 1 species